AGCGGCGAACGGGUGAGUAACACGUGAGCAAUCUGCCCUUCUCUUUGGAAUAACCAUUGGAAACGAUGGCUAAUGCCGAAUAUGACCUCCCUUCGCAUGUUGGGAGGUGGAAAGCUCCGGCGGAGAUGGAUGAGCUCGCGGCCUAUCAGCUUGUUGGUGAGGUAAUGGCUCACCAAGGCAUUGACGGGUAGCCGGCCUGAGAGGGUGACCGGCCACACUGGGACUGAGACACGGCCCAGACUCCUACGGGAGGCAGCAGUGGGGAAUAUUGGACAAUGGGCGAAAGCCUGAUCCAGCAACGCCGCGUGAGGGAUGACGGCCUUCGGGUUGUAAACCUCUUUCAGCAGGGACGAAGCGAGAGUGACGGUACCUGCAGAAGAAGGACCGGCCAACUACGUGCCAGCAGCCGCGGUAAUACGUAGGGUCCGAGCGUUGUCCGGAAUUAUUGGGCGUAAAGGGCUCGUAGGCGGUUUGUCGCGUCGGGAGUGAAAACUCAGGGCUCAACCCUGAGCGUGCUUUCGAUACGGGCAGACUAGAGGUAUGCAGGGGAGAACGGAAUUCCUGGUGUAGCGGUGGAAUGCGCAGAUAUCAGGAGGAACACCGGUGGCGAAGGCGGUUCUCUGGGCAUUACCUGACGCUGAGGAGCGAAAGCAUGGGGAGCGAACAGGAUUAGAUACCCUGGUAGUCCAUGCCGUAAACGUUGGGCGCUAGGUGUGGGGACCUUCCACGGUUUCCGUGCCGCAGCUAACGCAUUAAGCGCCCCGCCUGGGGAGUACGGCCGCAAGGCUAAAACUCAAAGGAAUUGACGGGGGCCCGCACAAGCGGCGGANCAUGCUGAUUAAUUCGAUGCAACGCGAAGAACCUUACCUGGGUUUGACAUA
rnacentral:rRNA from 2 species